rnacentral:lncRNA from 1 species
UUCUUUUCCACAAAAAUCACACACUAACACACACUAAAGUGUGUUGAACGAGAGAAAACGUAGAGAAGAGGAGAAAGGGAAGAAAAGAAAAAGAAAGGAAGAAAAAGAAAAAGAAAAAGGAAAGAAGAAAUCUUGUGCCAACUACUUCAAUCUUGUUUAUUUAAUUCUUCAAGAGGUAAGGUUAAUAAUUUAUGAUUUAGUUUUUGUAAAUUUUUGUUUAGGGUUUUAAAUUUAUAGCUUAUACUUGAAAAAUAUGAUAAGGAAUCUAACUAUUUGAGUAUUUGGAGCUAGUUAAUAGAUUGGAAAAAAAUGAUAUUUAGAUAUUAGGGUUUUGUCAUAUAUGGCUAAAUCCGAAAAUUUGGGGAAAUAUAUGAAUUCUUGUUAUUUUCCCUUGUGAUUGUUUUAUGGUAUUAUUAAGUUAGAUUAGUUGAAAAUAACUUAUCUUAUGCUUGAAUUCUCACUUUGGAUGAAUAUGGAGAAUAUAAGAAAGGAGCUUUUGAUAAGAUUUAUGUAUUUAGUUAAAAGAGAAUUUAAAUAAGGAAUGUGGAUGAUUAUUAUCAUAAAAAAAACUUGUUGAAUCUUUACGGGGCAGCCGGGAAAGGUUAGUAUUAAAGAGUGAGGGAUGUAGAGUGAUUCGAAAUUAAGUGAACGUAUGUUUAAGUAACCAAAUAAAAAGAUAAAUAUUAAGUCUCAGCUUAUUGCUUAUUGAGGGAUAUAUAUAUUUUAUUUUAUUUUGAUGAUAAGAAAGGGUUAUUAUUGAGAAAUCCUUUGUAACUGUAUAUGGAUGGAAUUGAAGUAGCUUAUAUUUAUGAUCGUUUCAAGAGGGGAUUUGGACGUGGGAACAGCAUAUCAGCCCCGUUAGUCCAGCCUAGAAUUGUGAGUGAAGAAUCUAUAUUUUCAAAAAGAAGAUUUUCUUUUUAUUUUAUAGAAGCAUGUUAAUUAAAUGGAAUGCUUUAUUUUCGAGAAAUAGUAAAUGAGUAUGAUUGUUUUGGAAUUAUCAUAAAAUAAUUGAUGUGAUUAUCUUACUCUAAUGCACUGAGGGGCUACGGCCGUGUAUUAGAGUCAUGUAUUUAACUCUUAUCCACUGAGGGGCUACGGCCGUGGGUAAAGUUAUCCAUUGUAUACUGAGGGGCUACAGCCGUGUGUAAGGGUAACUCUUAUCCACUGAGGGGCUAUGGCCGUGGGUAAAGUUAUCCAUUAUACACUGAGGGGCUACAGCCGUGUAUAAUGAUGAUUAUGUUAUUCCCAUCUUGUUCACUGAGGGGCUACGGCCGUGUACAGAAUAUUGAUCAGACGGUUUAUGUACAUAUGAUUUAUGGCUUUCAGAUCAUUAGUAGAUGUUUACGUGGGAUCUAUAUUUUGAUGUGAAUUUUAAUUAUAUAGUGGAUUAUUAGUCUUCAGCUUACAUUUUUCCCGCUUACAGUUCAGCUUGUGGACAGUACAACCAUCUAUUAAGCACUUCACUCACUGAGAUUAUUAUCUCAUAUUUUCCUGAACUUUUCCUUAUAGGAGGCUGUUGACUGAGCGAUGGUGGAGAUUAUUUUGAUAGUUUUGCAGCCAUUGCUACCACCAAUUGUAGGUUCUUUUGUUUGAAAUUGUGUAAUCAUCAAGUAAAAUAUUUACAUCAUAUUGGAGGAAAAUUAUUUUGGUAUUUAUAUACACCAAUGAUCAUGAUGUAAUAUUGUAAUCUAAACUGCUUUCUAUUAUCCUUUUGAGAGGCAGUUUUGAUGUAUAUGUUAUGGAUGUUUUUGGUUAAACGAGCAAAUGAUAGUAUUAUGUUGGUAUUUUAUUGGAGUUUAGAAAGAUUUUAAUUGGUCAA